GAUGCUAGCUAUGAUACCAUUCAAGGUACCAUGCUGGUUACUGAGGGCAGGAUGCAAACAAAUUUUGUGACUUUCGUUGUGGUGUGUACAUUUUCCGAACCUUAAUGCACCAAUGCAACUAAACUUUUGUUUUGUCAUCAGAUUUUUGUCCUGAACUAAAGGGUAGUCCUUUGAAAGGAAGUGCAAAAUCAUUCACAGGAAAAGAAAAUUCAGCAUCCGAGAGUGUUGAGUUGCAUUUCAGUGCAUUCCUGGACCUUGAAUCUGAUCGUACAUGGCUGCAAUUGAACCAUGCAAAUAUUUAAUCAGUCCCAGAACUGUCAGAGAAAAGAAUUUACAGGCGAGGUUCUUAUUUUAUUGCCUACAUUGAUUUAAUAGCAGUCAGGAAACCAAGAGGAAUACAAUAAUCCAGUGUCCUUUAGACUGGUGCAAUUUUGAAUUCUCGUUGCAUCAAUAAAAUACUGGUCUGCAGGUGAGGAAAUCA